rnacentral:rRNA from 1 species
UACAGAGGGUGCAAGCGUUAAUCGGAAUUACUGGGCGUAAAGCGUGCGUAGACGGUUAUGUAAGUCAGGUGUGAAAGCCCCGGGCUCAACCUGGGAAUUGCAUUUGAGACUGCAUAGCUAGGGUGCGGAAGAGGGAAGCGGAAUUUCCGGUGUAGCAGUGAAAUGCGUAGAUAUCGGAAGGAACAUCAGUGGCGAAAGCGGCUUCCUGGUCCAGCACCGACGUUCAGGCACGAAAGCGUGGGGAGCAAACAGG